rnacentral:tRNA from 1 species
CGCCGAGAUCGCGGAUGAUCGCUUCCGGCUCACGUCCGGCGCGGCGCGUACGGCGCGUGCUGCCCGCGCGCUCGGGGA